rnacentral:rRNA from 1 species
GACGUAGGGCGCGAGCGUUGUCCGGAUUUAUUGGGCGUAAAGAGCUCGUAGGUGGUUUGUCGCGUUGUCCGUGAAAACUCACAGCUCAACUGUGGGCGUGCGGGCGAUACGGGCAGACUGGAGUACUGCAGGGGGAGACUGGAAUUCCUGGUGUAGCGGUGGAAUGCGCAGAUAUCAGGAGGAACACCGGUGGCGAAGGCGGGUCUCUGGGCAGUAACUGACGCUGAGGAGCGAAAGCGUGGGGAGCGAACAGG